CACCCUGACAGCCUGGGGCUGUUGCAGUCCAUGAGCCUGCUGCUGGCAGAGUUCUCAGGCGGCUCUCCUGUGCGCCGUGCAUGGGUUCUGUCCAGGGCAUGGACCUGGGAGUGGAGCUUCUCUAAAGGGCCACAGGGAACAGAGAAUAUCUUGGUUUGGGGAGCGGCAGACGGAGAUGGGCAUUGGGGAAGCAGAAGCAGGCAAGGCCAGUAGCCUGGAAUCCUGAAAGCACAGAAAUAUAUGGGACUCGGCCUGGGGGAGCUGCUGGAGCCCUUGGAGGGAGGGAGAGCCCUCACUUCAAAGGCCUCAUCGCUGAGAAUUCCAGCCACAGCCUUCCAGAAGAACCCACUGCCCAGCCCACUGGCCAGCCAAGGUCUCCCGGCUGACAGAUCCGAGGUUUGGUGGCAUGGUUGUGGAGCAAGACGCUAAGGAAGCAGGUCCCGCCACACUGCAGGAGGGCUGGGCCGGGCUGCGGCACCUUCUCUCCUGGUGUGUGGCUGAGGAGAUAAAGCCCAUUGUGUCAGAGCUCCAUGUGCCCCUUGCAGUUUGCAUGGCUUUCUUCAGAGCAGAGAUGGCCCCGCCUUCCAUGCAUUUCAUUCCCCAGGAUGCUCACCCUUGAAAGUGAGGCCACCUGGAGAGCUUAUGUGGAGGUGUUUCGGUUGACAUCUGCUGCAGUCCCAGUCAGCAGGUGGCAUCAACUGGCAGACAUGUGAAGAAUGAGCCUUCAGUUGAUCCCAGCCUACAGCCUUUGAGCCACCCCAGCUGGUGCAAGGUACAGCAGAGAGGAGCUGUUCCCGCCAAAACCCUGCCCAAAUUGCAGAUGCGUGAGCAAAAUAAACGGUGUAACUGAGAUUUGGGAGUUGGUGACGUUGCAGUAGAUAACAAGAGCAUUCUAUCAACUUGCAUGAAAAAUGUUGAACACCCAAUAUUGAGUACUCCAAAGGGUAAAAGGGCUAUAGAGACAUCAGACUGUUUUACCAGUGAGGCCAUGCAACCAAAGACAGACAGACAUGAAGGGACGGAAAUUUUUUAAAUGCCACUGGAGAGUUGUAUUGAUCUCAUGUAUCACUGACAUUCUGGACUUGGACCUGACAUUUCAGGACUGUGUUCACUGACUUCCCUUCAUCUCUUCAGGUGUGUGUGUGUCGGGGGGGUGGGGUAUGUGUGAGUGAUACCAUCAUUUUAUCCAUUCUCAACAGAGAAUACUGCUUUGCUAAGUGAGCAGCAUUUGCUGGUCCAGGUACCUGGUUGCAAGUCAUCUGCUCCUGCAGGAUCCUUAGAUUGACAGCUCCCAGCUCACCCAUUUGCAGACCCCCAGAUCAGUCUCUCUCAAAGUGGUCAUUUCCCAUCAAGUAAUGAAAAUAACACCUACCAUUUAUUGGAUGUCUGUUAUGAAUCAUCAUCUCAGUCCUCAUACCCCCACACAGCAGGCAAUAUCACCUCCAUUUCCUAGGAAGCUGAAUUAAAUUUGCCAGUAGAUACAUGGCUGAGAUUUGACCCCACAUUUGUGUAAUAUCCCAACCCUUUGUCUUGCCACUAACUCCCCUCCACUACCUUCCUGAGGACAUGAAAGACUCAGGCAGAUCUCUGACAGAUCUUAAGUAGGUACUUUGUUUUUUAACUGAAAUACAGUUGAUAUACAAUAUUAUAUU